CCCUUAGAUGUUCUGGGCCGCACGCGUGCUACACUGAGUAAAUCAAUGGGUAAGGGAACACGAAAGUGCAACCUAAUCUUGAAAUUUGCUCGUGAUGGGGAUCGACGGUUGCAAUUUUCCGUCGUGAACGAGGAAUACCUUGUAGGCGCGUGUCAUCAUCACGCGCCGAAUACGUCCCUGCCCUUUGUACACACCGCCCGUCGCUCCUACCGAUUGAGUGAUCCGGUGAGGCUCUGGGACCUGGACGGAAAGAGCGUUUCGCUUGUUCUGUUUGGGAAACUUGGUCGAACCUUAUCAUUUAGAGGAAGGAGAAGUCGUAACA
rnacentral:rRNA from 1 species